rnacentral:rRNA from 1 species
UACGUAGGGUGCAAGCGUUAAUCGGAAUUACUGGGCGUAAAGCGUGCGCAGGCGGUUUUGUAAGUCUGUCGUGAAAGCCCCGGGCUCAACCUGGGAAUUGCGUUGGAGACUGCAAGGCUUGAAUCUGGCAGAGGGGGGUAGAAUUCCACGUGUAGCAGUGAAAUGCGUAGAGAUGUGGAGGAACACCGAUGGCGAAGGCAGCCCCCUGGGUCAAGAUUGACGCUCAUGCACGAAAGCGUGGGGAGCAAACAGG